AUUAGGACCUCCCUGAGGGCA
rnacentral:miRNA from 1 species